CACAAAAGGGACAUCGGAUUCAAUACAUAACUAGAUUGGAUAGAUAGAUUUAUCCAGCGUUAACCUAAAUUCAGAGGUUCCAUUGCAUCGUGUUUGCGUGUGAGACAUCGAAUUCUGCGCCUCUAGUUGUGUUCAAGUUCGGGAGAAAAAAACCAUAUCACAAAUAGAUAGACUAGACUAAAAUGUCUAGACCACAAAGACUACGCUGAGCGUCCCGUAUCACAGCCCUCAAUCAUGAGUUCCUCACAGGAAACAGAGGAAGAUGAGGGUGGUGUGGA